rnacentral:rRNA from 1 species
CUUGGUCAUUUAGAGGAAGUAAAAGUCGUAACAAGGUCUCCGUUGGUGAACCAGCGGAGGGAUCAUUACCGAGUUUACAACUCCCAAACCCCUGUGAACAUACCACUUGUUGCCUCGGCGGAUCAGCCCGCUCCCGGUAAAACGGGACGGCCCGCCAGAGGACCCCUAAACUCUGUUUCUAUAUGUAACUUCUGAGUAAAACCAUAAAUAAAUCAAAACUUUCAACAACGGAUCUCUUGGUUCUGGCAUCGAUGAAGAACGCAGCAAAAUGCGAUAAGUAAUGUGAAUUGCAGAAUUCAGUGAAUCAUCGAAUCUUUGAACGCACAUUGCGCCCGCCAGUAUUCUGGCGGGCAUGCCUGUUCGAGCGUCAUUUCAACCCUCAAGCACAGCUUGGUGUUGGGACUCGCGUUAAUUCGCGUUCCUCAAAUUGAUUGGCGGUCACGUCGAGCUUCCAUAGCGUAGUAGUAAAACCCUCGUUACUGGUAAUCGUCGCGGCCACGCCGUUAAACCCCAACUCCUGAAUGUUGACCUCGGAUCAGGUAGGAAUACCCGCUGAACUUAAGCAUAUCAAUAAGCGGAGGA